GAUGAACGCUGGCGGCGUGCCUAAUACAUGCAAGUCGAGCGAACAGACGAGGAGCUUGCUCCUCUGACGUUAGCGGCGGACGGGUGAGUAACACGUGGAUAACCUACCUAUAAGACUGGGAUAACUUCGGGAAACCGGAGCUAAUACCGGAUAAUAUAUUGAACCGCAUGGUUCAAUAGUGAAAGACGGUUUUGCUGUCACUUAUAGAUGGAUCCGCGCCGCAUUAGCUAGUUGGUAAGGUAACGGCUUACCAAGGCGACGAUGCGUAGCCGACCUGGGAGUGUGAUCGGCCACACGGGAACUGAGACACGGUCCAGACUACUACGGGAGGCAGCAGUAGGGAAUCGUCCGCAAUGGGCGAAAGCCUGACGGAGCAACGCCGCGUGAGUGAUGAAGGUCUUCGGAUCGUAAAACUCUGUUAUUAGGGAAGAACAAACGUGUAAGUAACUAUGCACGUCUUGACGGUACCUAAUCAGAAAGCCACGGCUAACUACGUG
rnacentral:rRNA from 1 species